AACGAACGCUGGCGGCAUGCCUAACACAUGCAAGUCGAACGAGACCUUCGGGUCUAGUGGCGCACGGGUGCGUAACGCGUGGGAACCUGCCCUUAGGUUCGGAAUAACUCCCCGAAAGGGGUGCUAAUACCGGAUAAUGUCUUCGGACCAAAGAUUUAUCGCCUUUGGAUGGGCCCGCGUUGGAUUAGCUAGUUGGUAGGGUAAAAGCCUACCAAGGCGACGAUCCAUAGCUGGUCUGAGAGGAUGAUCAGCCACACUGGGACUGAGACACGGCCCAGACUCCUACGGGAGGGAGCAGUGGGGAAUAUUGGACAAUGGGCGAAAGCCUGAUCCAGCAAUGCCGCGUGAGUGAUGAAGGCCUUAGGGUUGUAAAGCUCUUUUACACGGGAUGAUAAUGACAGUACCGGGAGAAUAAGCUCCGGCUAACUCCGUG
rnacentral:rRNA from 1 species